AGUGAACGCUGGCGGUAGGCCUAACACAUGCAAGUCGAACGGAAGCACAGUAAGAGCUUGCUCUUACGGGUGGCGAGUGGCGGACGAGUGAGGAAUACAUCGGACUCUACUUUUUCGUGGGGGAUCACGUAGGGAAACUUACGAUAAUACCGCAUACGACCUACGGGUGAAAGCAUGGGAUCUUCGGACCUUGCGCGAAUGAAUGAGCCGAUGUCGGAUUAGCUAGUUGGCGGGGUAAAGGCCAACCAAGGCGACGAUCCGUAGCUGGACUGAGAGGAUGAUCGGCCGCACGGGAACGGGGACACGGUCCAGACUCCUACGGGAGGCAGCAGUGGGGAAUAUUGGACAAUAGGCGCAAGCCUGAUCCAGCCAUACCGCGUGUGUGAAGGAGGCCUUCGGGUUGUAAAGCCCGUUUGUGGGGAGAGAAAAGCAGCAGGUUAAUACCCCGCUGUUCUGACGGUACCCAAAGAAUAAGCACCGGCUAACUACGUG
rnacentral:rRNA from 1 species